UUAAUUCUAAAUCUUCCCAUUUUUCUGCAAAUUAGGCCACAUCAAGCUAAACAUUAUAUUGGUUUAUCUUUUGUGUUUGACAUGCUAUAAAUCAAACAGGACCUAAAUACAUUCCUCAUGAUUUUAAUAUUAUGUAUGUGUGCAUCUACGCUGUGUUCCAGGUUCCUUUGCCAAAACAUUAACAGCAAUACUAGGAGGACUAAAUAGAGCAGAUGUUCUGUAAUCCCACACCAAAAGGCAACCUGGGAAUGUUGGAAAUUAUGCAGAUAUCCCCGAGUCACACUCCUGCAACCCACUGCACAACACAAGGAAGAAAAGAGGAGUUUCUGCAUUGCUUAAACACACAAGAACUACUGACCUGGCCCUCUUAGAGCCAUUUCACACUCCAGGGCACACCAAUGGCCACGUGUCAUCUGUCCUGGCCACCAAGGAAUUUGGUUUCCAUGCCUAGAACAACUUUUGUGUUAUUGGCAGCUCUUCUUUCUGCACCCAAUGAAAUCUAUAAAAAUAAG